rnacentral:lncRNA from 1 species
GCCCAACUACAAUUCAAUCCGCUAGCAACUUAGUGAAGAUCUUAUUAAUAUGCAAAAGUUAGAGUGAAGCGGUAGGCAAUUUCUGAUAAAUUAGUUACAACUUCUCAACUGAUUUUUCUCUCUCUCUUGCUUACUCUCUUUCUCACCUCUAACCUCCUUUUCUUCUUCUUCUUCUUCUUCUCCUUCUUCUUCUUCUUCUUCUUCUUCUUCUUCUUCUUGCUAUCAUCGAGUAAUCCUUCUCUUCUUCUUCUUUCAGGUUACUCAUCGAGUAAUGUAGCUUUCAUUGUAGAAGUAACAUUGUUGCAAUUCCAUUUCUAUUACAAUAAAUAAAUAAAUCUCGUUUUUUCUCAUUAUCUUCUUCUUAAUCUUGAUACAAUUCUCCUCACCAUCCACGUGUCUGACAUAAGACACCCCUUCCCCCCUCAAAUAAAGACAUAUCUCCCUUACUUUCCUAAUUCAUUCAACUUCAGACAUUAUAAUCCCUACUUCUCCAAGAACGACCUUGUCCUCAAAUUCUUUGUUGAGCAACAAAAUCAGGAAAUCUGCUUUUGAUAUAACUCUAGUCCUCCCAGGUAGCAUCCUCCUCCCCUAAAUUUGCCCAUUGAACCGGAACCUUCACCCCCACACCAUUAUCUAUCUUCACCAUGCGUUGUUAUAGGAUCGCUACAUAUUGAAUCAAGAUCCGUCCUUCGUCGUCACAAAUUGGUGGUUGUAGUUGUGGAGUAUUGGAUGGACCAACAUGUUGAAGUAGAUUUUGUUUAGCUCUUGCAGAGGAAUUUUACCCUUCGCGUUCGCGAGAGGAACCUCGCGUUCGCGAUGAGUCAGUUGAGGAAGGAAAAUAUCAAGCCUUUGUGUUCGUGAUGGGAGCUCCACGUUCGCAAAGGGUUGGAUACUUGUCAACCGUGUUCACGAAGGAGGAAAUAUGGCCCAGUAGAAUUUGCUCGUUGCGUUCGCGAUGAGAGGAACGUGUUCGCUAAGGUUAGACAGGUAAAGCAUCGCAUUUGCAAGGGCCUUGUCGCAUUUUUGUUAGAGGACUUUUGGUCAAUGCCAUUGUUGUGCUUCACGAACGCGAUGCUUUGACCGCAUUCGCGAAGAAAGAAUUAAAUGCCUGGGUAGAAUGUUUUAAAAGGUUUUUUUCGCGAAUUUUAGCCUUGGUUCCUCCAUUGUUAGGUGAUUUUGAAGUUUUUUGAAGAGGGUUGAAGAGAGAUUCAAAGGGAAUCACUUGGUGGUAACAUUUUUGACUUUAUAAUUUAUUUAUAUAUGAUUAAAGACCUAACUGGUGGUGAAAAUUUUGAAAAAAAUGGGUGAUUAGGGCUUGAGAUUAAGAGACCUUAAAAAAGGUAUUUGAGGGGUCAAUUGGACUCUGAUUUCAGUGUUCUUGUUAUGUAUAGACUCAUGAGAGUAUGAGGAUUCUGAAAAUAUAAAUUUUACCUGAUUCCAAGACUUGGGUCUGAGGGGAAUGCUGGUCAUUUUACCUAAUUUCACGUUUUAUCUUAGAAUUUAAUUGUAAAAUCAGUUAUUUGAAGUGUUAUUUAUAUUAUAAAAUUGAAUUGAAUAGAUUUUGACCAUUUGGAGUCGAGUACUCAUGGCAAAGAUGUGGUGUCAGGUUGAUUUUGACCGGGUUCGAGGUAAGUGGCUUGUCUAACCUUGUGUGAGGGACCUUCCCCUUAGGAUAUGAUAUAUUUGAUAAUUGAAAUUCCUUGUGCGUGAGGUGACGAGUGCGUACUUGAGCUAACUGUUUGAAACCCGAUUUUAUUUUAAGUAUUUCAAUUGAGUUCCUUUCACCUGUUUUAUUCUACUUGCGAAUUUAUCUUGUUGUUAGUUUAGGAAAGCAUAUUUAGUUGACUUAAUUGCCUAUUUGUUUAAGCUACCUUAAUUGCAUUACGUGAAGGAUGUUAGGCUAGAAUUAACUAUUUUACUUAAAUAAAAUUAGAAUUUAAUUGAAUAGUCUUGUGUUGCUGUGUGUGUUUUUAAUUUGGGACUACGGGAUAAUAUCCCGGGAGAUCCCCUGUACGUAUUUAUGAUAUGGACUGAGGUGCGAGAUACCAAGAUAUCCUUAACGCGUGUAUUGAGGAUACUAAGAGAUCUUCGGGAUACCAAGAGAUCCCUAGCAUAUAUUAAGGAUACCAAGAGAUCCUCGGGAUACCAAGAGAUCCCUAGUAUACAUUGAGGAUACCAAGAGAUCCCCGAUUAGCAUCCUUACUGUAAGUGGUGGUUCCUUGUGGUUUACCUUUAUUCUCUGUUUCCGUUAUUGCACUAUUAUUAUCCUGUAUAGAUUCUUACUAUAUAUCCUCAAUAGUAUCGUUUAUCUUAUCCUGUCAUCUUUUUUAUUUACUUAAUCUCAGUAGGGUCAUGAUCUUCCUCGUCACUACCCGAUCGAGAUUAUGCUUAGCACUUACUGAGUACUAUUGUGGUGUACUCAUGCCUUUUUUGCUCAUAUUUUUCAUAUGCAAAUCCAGGUACCUCUGCUCAGACUCAUUAUCCUUGAGGCGAGGCGCUCCGUAGAGAUUUCGAGGUUUAUCUGCCAUGUUCGUAGACCGAGGAGUUCCUUUCCAUUCCUACUUUUUAGUAUUUAGUCCUUAUGUAUCUUUUGUUCUAUUUAGACAUUCCGUAGUUAGAUCUAUGUAGUAUUUUCUAGCUUGUGAUUCGUGAAUUUUCGGGUCUUGGAUUUAGAUAUUGGUUUUGAGAUUUAUAUAUGGUGUAUGCCGAGCGGUACCUUUAAACACAGUUAUCACUUUAUUUCUGCUCUUAAAUUGUUUUAUUUCCGCAAAAUUUGGUUUUAUUCCGCAAUUUAGGUUUACCUAGUCGUAGAGACUAGGUGCCAUCAUGACAGUCCACGGAGGACGAACUAGGAUCGUGACAGUGGUAAUGUGUUGAUAUUGAACCCGGAAAGUGACAAUGAAAUAGUGAUUGAGGUAUAUGUCUCAAAUGAGGCAGCUUAGCUGAUCGGGC